rnacentral:rRNA from 1 species
UCCAGACUCCUACGGGAGGCAGCAGUGGGGAAUAUUGGGCAAUGGGCGCAAGCCUGACCCAGCAACGCCGCGUGAAGGAAGAAGGCUUUCGGGUUGUAAACUUCUUUUCUCAGGGACGAAGCAAGUGACGGUACCUGAGGAAUAAGCCACGGCUAACUACGUGCCAGCAGCCGCGGUAAUACGUAGGUGGCAAGCGUUAUCCGGAUUUACUGGGUGUAAAGGGCGUGUAGGCGGGAAAGCAAGUCAGAUGUGAACACCAGGGGCUCAACCUGUGGCCUGCAUUUGAAACUGUUUUUCUUGAGUACUGGAGAGGCAGACGGAAUUCCUAGUGUAGCGGUGAAAUGCGUAGAUAUUAGGAGGAACACCAGUGGCGAAGGCGGUCUGCUGGACAGCAACUGACGCUGAGGCCCGAACGCGUGGGGAGCACACAGGAUUAGAUACCCCUGUAA